GUCCAACUUGUUCUUGAAAGCAAAAAUUAUAGCCCCAGCAUGUUCAGCAGCAUUUCCAACAAUUGGUAAUAAAAUAACACUGAUGAAACUCACUGAAAUUCCCCAAGAAUUUGAUGCUGCCUCAAUGGUACCAACAACAUAUUCAGAUAAUAGAGCAAUAAGAAUAGUCAUUCCAACCAACCAUGCAAAUGCACUCCAAAAACUAAGCACUGCUUCUUCAUCUUCGAUAUCAUCACCUUCAUUUUCUUCUGCUUGUGCGUCGAAAAGUUGUCGGUGAGUCCACAAUUGGAACACAAGAUAACCAAAAUAAGCAAGAAGCAUAACAAUGCAGCUAACUCUUGAUAGAUUCAAUGUUGCUUCUGCUGUUAUUGCUGCUGAUUCUCCAACUCCAGCAUAACGAAACAUCAAAGGCAACACAUGACAUAAUAAUCCCAAUAAUAAAAGUAGAGAGUUCACAUCUGCU
rnacentral:misc_RNA from 1 species